AUACGGGGCAGUUAUAGCCAUGU
rnacentral:miRNA from 1 species